rfam:Myotis davidii contig184910, whole genome shotgun sequence.
GGCGGUUCUUGGGUGACACACCCCAGAAUCGGGCUCCCUCCUCUCUGGUUCCGGGUGCAUCACUCCGAGAACCACA